rnacentral:rRNA from 1 species
GACGAACGCUGGCGGCGUGCUUAAUACAUGCAAGUCGAACGGAAAGGCCCUGCUUUUGUGGGGCGCUCGAGUGGCGAACGGGUGAGUAACACGUGAGUAACCUGCCCCUGACUUAGGGAUAACAUUAGGAAACUGGGGCUAAUACCGGAUAGGAGCUCCUGCUGCAUGGUGGGGGUUGGAAAGUGACGGUGGUUGGGGCUGGACUCGCGGCUUAUCAGCUAGUUGGUAGGGUAGCGGCUUACCAAGGGUUUGACGGGAAGCCGACCUGAGAGGGGGACCGGCCACCUUGGAGGGGAGCCACGGUCCAGACUCCUACGGGAGGCAGCAGUAGGGAAGGGGCCGCAAUGGGGGAAAGUCUGACGGAGCGGCGCCGCGCGAGUGAUGAAGGUCUCCGGAGCGUAAAACUCUGUUAUGAGGGAAGAACAAAUGUGGAAGUAACGAUGCACGGCGUGACGGUACCGAAUAAGAAAGCCACGGCUAACUACGUG